AGCAGCCGCGGUAAUUCCAGCUCCAAUAGCGUAUAUUAAAGUUGUUGCAGUUAAAAAGCUCGUAGUUGAAUUUCGGGACUAAUAUGUCGGUCGUGCCUCGGUACGCACUGGCUUAUUGGUUUCUCCUUUCUGAAGAACCAUGAUGUCAUUUAUUUGGUGUCGUGGGGAAUCAGGACUGUUACUUUGAAAAAAUUAGAGUGUUUAAAGCAGGCUCACGCUUGAAUACAUUAGCAUGGAAUAAUGAAAUAGGACGUUUGAUUCUAUUUUGUUGGUUUCUAGGAUCGACGUAAUGAUUAAUAGGGAUAGUUGGGGGCAUUAGUAUUCAAUUGUCAGAGGUGAAAUUCUUGGAUUUAUUGAAGACUAACUACUGCGAAAGCAUUUGCCAAGGAUGUUUUCAUUAAUCAAGAACGAAAGUUAGGGGAUCGAAGACGAUCAGAUACCGUCGUAGUCUUAACCAUAAACUAUGCCGACUAGGGAUCGGAUGAUGUUAAUUUUUAAUGACUCAUUCGGCGCCUUAAC
rnacentral:rRNA from 1 species